rnacentral:rRNA from 1 species
UACGUAGGGACCGAGCGUUGUCCGGAAUCAUUGGGCGUAAAGAGCGUGUAGGCGGCCACUUAAGUCCUGCGUGAAAUCUUGCGGCUCAACCGCAAGCGGUCGUGGGAAACUGGGUGGCUAGAGUGCGGGAGAGGAGAGUGGAAUUCCUGGUGUAGCGGUGGAAUGCGCAGAUAUCAGGAAGAACACCCGUGGCGAAGGCGGCUCUCUGGUCUGUAACUGACGCUGAGGCGCGAAAGCGUGGGGAGCAAACAGG